rnacentral:rRNA from 1 species
GACGAACGCUGGCGGCGUGCUUAACACAUGCAAGUCGAACGGAAAGGCCCUGCUUUUGUGGGGUGCUCGAGUGGCGAACGGGUGAGUAACACGUGAGUAACCUGCCCUUGACUUUGGGAUAACUUCAGGAAACUGGGGCUAAUACCGGAUAGGAGCUCCUGCUGCAUGGUGGGGGUUGGAAAGUUUCGGCGGUUUGGGAUGGACUCGCGGCUUAUCAGCUUGUUGGUGGGGUAGUGGCUUACCAAGGCUUUGACGGGUAGCCGGCCUGAGAGGGUGACCGGCCACAUUGGGACUGAGAUACGGCCCAGACUCCUACGGGAGGCAGCAGUGGGGAAUAUUGCACAAUGGGCGGAAGCCUGAUGCAGCAACGCCGCGUGCGGGAUGACGGCCUUCGGGUUGUAAACCGCUUUCGCCUGUGACGAAGCGUGAGUGACGGUAAUGGGUAAAGAAGCACCGGCUAACUACGUGCCAGCAGCCGCCGUAA